CCUACGGGAGGCAGCAGUGGGGAAUAUUGGACAAUGGGCGAAAGCCUGAUCCAGCAAUGCCGCGUGAGUGAUGAAGGCCUUAGGGUUGUAAAGCUCUUUUACCCGAGAUGAUAAUGACAGUAUCGGGAGAAUAAGCUCCGGCUAACUCCGUGCCAGCAGCCGCGGUAAUACGGAGGGAGCUAGCGUUGUUCGGAAUUACUGGGCGUAAAGCGCACGUAGGCGGCUUUUUAAGUCAGGGGUGAAAUCCCGGGGCUCAACCCCGGAACUGCCCUUGAAACUGGGAAGCUAGAAUCUUGGAGAGGCGAGUGGAAUUCCGAGUGUAGAGGUGAAAUUCGUAGAUAUUCGGAAGAACACCAGUGGCGAAGGCGACUCGCUGGACAAGUAUUGACGCUGAGGUGCGAAGGCGUGGGGAGCAAACAGGAUUAGAUACCCUGGUAGUCCACGCCGUAAACGAUGAUAACUAGCUGUCCGGGUUCAUGGAACUUGGGUGGCGCAGCUAACGCAUUAAGUUAUCCGCCUGGGGAGUACGGUCGCAAGAUUAAAACUCAAAUGAAAUUGACGG
rnacentral:rRNA from 1 species